AUUGAACGCUGGCGGCAGGCCUAACACAUGCAAGUCGAGCGGUUGAGGUAGCUUGCUACCGAUGCAGCGGCGAACGGGUGAGUAAUACAUGGGAAUCUGCCUGGUAGUGGGGGACAACGUUUCGAAAGGAACGCUAAUACCGCAUACGCCCUACGGGGGAAAGGGGGGGAUCUUCGGACCUCUCGCUAUCAGAUGAGCCCAUGUCAGAUUAGCUAGUUGGUGGGGUAAAGGCUCACCAAGGCGACGAUCUGUAACUGGUCUGAGAGGAUGAUCAGUCACACUGGAACUGAGACACGGUCCAGACUCCUACGGGAGGCAGCAGUGGGGAAUAUUGGACAAUGGGCGCAAGCCUGAUCCAGCCAUGCCGCGUGUGUGAAGAAGGCCUUAGGGUUGUAAAGCACUUUCAGUGGGGAGAAAGGUUAUUCACCUAAUACGUGAGUAAAUUGAUGCUACCCACAGAAGAAGCACCGGCUAACUCCGUGCCAGCCGCCGCCGUAACAC
rnacentral:rRNA from 1 species